rnacentral:rRNA from 1 species
UACGUAGGGUGCAAGCGUUGUCCGGAAUUAUUGGGCGUAAAGAGCGCGUAGGCGGUCCGGUAAGUCCGCUGUGAAAGUCAAGGGCUCAACCCUUGAAUGCCGGUGGAUACUGUCGGGCUAGAGUCCGGAAGAGGCGAGUGGAAUUCCUGGUGUAGCGGUGAAAUGCGCAGAUAUCAGGAGGAACACCAAUGGCGAAGGCAGCUCGCUGGGACGGUACUGACGCUGAGGCACGAAGGUCAGGGGAGCAAACGGG